AGCUGUGACUUUUGUCAUGUCUCCUAAGCUAAGCAGCAUCAGGCUAUAUAAGCACUUGGAUGGGAGACUUUGUGGGAAAACCCAGAUUCAUAGUUG
rnacentral:rRNA from 1 species